rnacentral:rRNA from 1 species
UACGUAGGGGGGCUAGCGUUGUCCGGAAUCAUUGGGCGUAAAGAGCGUGUAGGCGGCCCGGUAAGUCCGCUGUGAAAGUCGGGGGCUCAACCCUCGAAUGCCGGUGGAUACUGUCGGGCUAGAGUGCGGAAGAGGCGAGUGGAAUUCCUGGUGUAGCGGUGAAAUGCGCAGAUAUCAGGAGGAACACCGAUGGCGAAGGCAGCUCGCUGGGACGGUACUGACGCUGAGGCGCGAAAGCGUGGGGAGCAAACAGG